AUUGAACGCUGGCGGCAUGCCUUACACAUGCAAGUCGAACGGCAGCACGGGAGCAAUCCUGGUGGCGAGUGGCGAACGGGUGAGUAAUAUAUCGGAACGUGCCCGGUCGUGGGGGAUAACGUAGCGAAAGCUACGCUAAUACCGCAUACGAUCUACGGAUGAAAGCGGGGGAUCGCAAGACCUCGCGCGAUUGGAGCGGCCGAUAUCAGAUUAGGUAGUUGGUGAGGUAAAGGCUCACCAAGCCGACGAUCUGUAGCUGGUCUGAGAGGACGACCAGCCACACUGGGACUGAGACACGGCCCAGACUCCUACGGGAGGCAGCAGUGGGGAAUUUUGGACAAUGGGCGCAAGCCUGAUCCAGCAAUGCCGCGUGCAGGAUGAAGGCCUCGGUUGUAACGUAG
rnacentral:rRNA from 1 species